rnacentral:rRNA from 1 species
UAGGGAAUCUUCGGCAAUGGGGGCAACCCUGACCGAGCAACGCCGCGUGAGUGAAGAAGGUUUUCGGAUCGUAAAGCUCUGUUGUAAGAGAAGAACGUGUGUGAGAGUGGAAAGUUCACACAGUGACGGUAACUUACCAGAAAGGGACGGCUAACUACGUGCCAGCAGCCGCGGUAAUACGUAGGUCCCGAGCGUUGUCCGGAUUUAUUGGGCGUAAAGCGAGCGCAGGCGGUUUAAUAAGUUUGAAGUUAAAGGCAGUGGCUUAACCAUUGUUCGCUUUAGAAGCUGUUAAACUUGAGUGCAGAAGGGGAGAGUGAAAUUCCAUGUGUAGCGGUGAAAUGCGUAGAUAUAUGGAGGAACACCGGUGGCGAAAGCGGCUCUCUGGUCUGUAACUGACGCUGAGGCUCGAAAGAGUGGGGAGCAAACAGG